rnacentral:lncRNA from 1 species
CCGUUCCCGAAUUUUACACAUAAUACAAAACAAACACAUCAGAGACUUCAUAAUUUGACACUAAUUCAAUCUUCUUAUAAUUAAAGACAAACUAUUACGAACCUGCUAAUACCUCUCUCUUCACUAUAUAAUCCUCUUUUAAAUUUCCUCCUAGUCUCUCUGGUGAAAGCGUUUAAGUGGCUAGAUUCAAUAUCCUGUGACAUCGAUCUUGACUGAAAGAAAACAGAGGAUCAAUAAAAAUCAUCAUUCAGUCAAUGAAACGAUGAUGUAAUAUGUAUACUUUGUGCUCUGAUCAAUCUCUAAACUUACGGAUGAUGUAAUAUGUAUACUUUGUGCUCUGAUCAAUCUCUAAACUUACGGAUGAUGUAAUAUGUUGCAGAGAUCAUCAUCAUCAUC